AUGGAGUUAGAGUCAAAUCGAUUUAUCAAAAGGUCAAUAAAAAAAGCAUACAUAUGUGUGUAUGUAUAUAUACAUGGUGGAGCCGAAGAGAAGAUCAUGGAAAAUGGGGCACGGUUCCAAGGCAACUCUUUGUUCAUGGAUGUGGUCCAUAAUGGAGGGAAGAUAAUGAGAAUUUGGCUCGUAAUUAAGAAGCAGCAUGGUGCAGUCGAAAUUGGAAUCAGAGGACCUAUGCAGCCCUGGAAGGUGAAGAAACAAGCCCAGAGAUGUUAAGGGAAAGGAUCAAAGUCAUCCAAAUAAUCUGAUUGAUUUCCUAUCACCAUUUCUACUCCCCUCUACCCUAAAUAAAAAAAAAAUAUCUCAAAUGAUUUAUGGUUUA
rnacentral:lncRNA from 1 species